rnacentral:rRNA from 1 species
CAAUGGGGGAAACCCUGNAUGCAGCGACGCCGCGCUGGAGGAAGAAGGUCUUCGCGCAUUGUAAACUCCUGUCGUUAGGGACGAUAAUGACGGUACCUAACAAGAAAGCACCGGCUAACUACGUGCCAGCAGCCGCGGUAAUACGUAUGGUGCAAGCGUUGUCCGGAUUUACUGGGUGUAAAGGGAGCGCAGGCGGGAAGACAAGUUGGAAGUGAAAUCUAUGGGCUCAACCCAUAAACUGCUUUCAAAACUGUUUUUCUUGAGUAGUGCAGAGGUAGGCGGAAUUCCCGGUGUAGCGGUGGAAUGCGUAGAUAUCGGGAGGAACACCAGUGGCGAAGGCGGCCUACUGGGCACCAACUGACGCUGAGGCUCGAAAGUGUGGGUAGCAAACAGGAUUAGAUACCCUGGUAGUCCAAGGGCGAAUUC